rnacentral:snRNA from 1 species
UGGACCGACGCGGAUUACGGUGGCGGCCUA